rnacentral:rRNA from 1 species
CGAAUGCUGACAUAAGUAACGAUAAAGCGGGUGAAAAGCCCGCUCGCCGGAAGACCAAGGGUUCCUGUCCAACGUUAAUCGGGGCAGGGUGAGUCGACCCCUAAGGCGAGGCCGAAAGGCGUAGUCGAUGGGAAACAGGUUAAUAUUCCUGUACUUGGUGUUACUGCGAAGGGGGGACGGAGAAGGCUAUGUUGGCCGGGCGACGGUUGUCCCGGUUUAAGCGUGUAGGCUGGUUUUCCAGGCAAAUCCGGAAAAUCAAGGCUGAGGCGUGAUGACGAGGCACUACGGUGCUGAAGCAACAAAUGCCCUGCUUCCAGGAAAAGCCUCUAAGCAUCAGGUAACAUCAAAUCGUACCCCAAACCGACACAGGUGGUCAGGUAGAGAAUACCAAGGCGCUUGAGAGAACUCGGGUGAAGGAACUAGGCAAAAUGGUGCCGUAACUUCGGGAGAAGGCACGCUGAUAUGUAGGUGAAGCGACUUGCUCGUGGAGCUGAAAUCAGUCGAAGAUACCAGCUGGCUGCAACUGUUUAUUAAAAACACAGCACUGUGCAAACACGAAAGUGGACGUAUACGGUGUGACGCCUGCCCGGUGCCGGAAGGUUAAUUGAUGG